ensembl:lncRNA
ACUGUGGAAGCAGUGGUGAUUGGGAGAUGGUGAGGAAGAAAUUCCCUGCCUUGGACAAGUCACUGAACUUCUCUUACCACACUGUAUACCUGGACCUUUCAUGAAGAGUGUAUGACAACCCACUCCAGUACUCUUGCCUGGAAAAUCCCACGGACAGAGGAGCCUGGUCCUUGUUAAACCUUUCUUGCAUCUUCUCAAUCCUUGUCUCCAGGGUAUUUAUCUGUGAUUCCAUUUUGAUUUCAAGAUUUUGGAUCAAUUUCACUAUCAUUAUUUGGAAUUCUUUAUCAGGUAAAAUAGAGUUUAAAACAAAGACAGUAACUGGAGUUAAUAUUUCUGGCCUUGAAGAUGAAGAAAAGGACUCAUAAGCCAAGGAAUGUGAGUGGCAUCUAGAAGCUGUAAAGGACAAGGAAAUGGAUUCUAAGAGCUCCAGCGAAACCCAUGUUAGAACUGUUGGAUGAUAAAUUUGUGUUGUUUUCAGUUCAGUUUAGUCGCUCAGUUGUGUCCGACUCUGUGAACCCCAUGAACCGCAGCACAUGAAGAGCAGCCUCCCUGUCCAUCACCAACUCCCAGAGUUCACCCAAACUCACAUUGAAUUGGUGAUGCCAUCCAACCAUCUCAUCCUCUGUCAUCCCCUUCUCCUCUGGCCCUCAAUCUUUCCCAGA